rnacentral:rRNA from 1 species
UACGUAGGGUGCAAGCGUUGUCCGGAAUUCUUGGGCGUAAAGAACUCGUAGGCGGUCUGUCGCAUCGGCUGUGAAAACCCGGGGCUCAACCCCGGGCCUGCAGUCGAUACGGGCAGACUAGAGUGCGGUAGGGGAGACUGGAAUUCCUGGUGUAGCGGUGAAAUGCGCAGAUAUCAGGAGGAACACCGGUGGCGAAGGCGGGUCUCUGGGCCGUAACUGACGCUGAUGCACGAAAGCGUGGGUAGCAAACAGG